rnacentral:rRNA from 1 species
AUUGAACGCUGGCGGCAGGCCUAACACAUGCAAGUCGAGCGGAGCGGCGGACGGGUGAGUAAUGCCUAGGAAUCUGCCUGGUAGUGGGGGAUAACGUCCGGAAACGGGCGCUAAUACCGCAUACUAUCAGAUGAGCCUAGGUCGGAUUAGCUAGUUGGUGAGGUAAAGGCCUACCAAGGCGACGAUCCGUAGCUGGUCUGAGAGGAUGAUCAGUCACACUGGAACUGAGACACGGUCCAGACUCCUACGGGAGGCAGCAGUAGGGAAUAUUCGACAAUGGACGAAAGCCUGACCCAGCAAUGCCGCGUGAGUGAAGAAGGUUUUCGGAUUGUAAAGCUCUGUUGGUAGGGAAGCGGUACCAACAGAGAAAGCACCGGCUAACUACGUGCCAGCAGCCGCGGUAAUAC